GGGUUGUGAGGUUAAGCGACUAAGCGUACACGGUGGAUGCCCUGGCAGUCAGAGGCGAUGAAGGACGUGCUAAUCUGCGAUAAGCGUCGGUAAGGUGAUAUGAACCGUUAUAACCGGCGAUUUCCGAAUGGGGAAACCCAGUGUGUUUCGACACACUAUCAUUAACUGAAUCCAUAGGUUAAUGAGGCGAACCGGGGGAACUGAAACAUCUAAGUACCCCGAGGAAAAGAAAUCAACCGAGAUUCCCCCAGUAGCGGCGAGCGAACGGGGAGCAGCCCAGAGCCUGAAUCAGUGUGUGUGUUAGUGGAAGCGUCUGGAAAGGCGCGCGAUACAGGGUGACAGCCCCGUACACAAAAAUGCACAUGCUGUGAGCUCGAUGAGUAGGGCGGGACACGUGGUAUCCUGUCUGAAUAUGGGGGGACCAUCCUCCAAGGCUAAAUACUCCUGACUGACCGAUAGUGAACCAGUACCGUGAGGGAAAGGCGAAAAGAACCCCGGCGAGGGGAGUGAAAAAGAACCUGAAACCGUGUACGUACAAGCAGUGGGAGCACGCUUAGGCGUGUGACUGCGUACCUUUUGUAUAAUGGGUCAGCGACUUAUAUUCUGUAGCAAGGUUAACCGAAUAGGGGAGCCGAAGGGAAACCGAGUCUUAACUGGGCGUUAAGUUGCAGGGUAUAGACCCGAAACCCGGUGAUCUAGCCAUGGGCAGGUUGAAGGUUGGGUAACACUAACUGGAGGACCGAACCGACUAAUGUUGAAAAAUUAGCGGAUGACUUGUGGCUGGGGGUGAAAGGCCAAUCAAACCGGGAGAUAGCUGGUUCUCCCCGAAAGCUAUUUAGGUAGCGCCUCGUGAAUUCAUCUCCGGGGGUAGAGCACUGUUUCGGCAAGGGGGUCAUCCCGACUUACCAACCCGAUGCAAACUGCGAAUACCGGAGAAUGUUAUCACGGGAGACACACGGCGGGUGCUAACGUCCGUCGUGAAGAGGGAAACAACCCAGACCGCCAGCUAAGGUCCCAAAGUCAUGGUUAAGUGGGAAACGAUGUGGGAAGGCCCAGACAGCCAGGAUGUUGGCUUAGAAGCAGCCAUCAUUUAAAGAAAGCGUAAUAGCUCACUGGUCGAGUCGGCCUGCGCGGAAGAUGUAACGGGGCUAAACCAUGCACCGAAGCUGCGGCAGCGACGCUUAUGCGUUGUUGGGUAGGGGAGCGUUCUGUAAGCCUGUGAAGGUGUGCUGUGAGGCAUGCUGGAGGUAUCAGAAGUGCGAAUGCUGACAUAAGUAACGAUAAAGCGGGUGAAAAGCCCGCUCGCCGGAAGACCAAGGGUUCCUGUCCAACGUUAAUCGGGGCAGGGUGAGUCGACCCCUAAGGCGAGGCCGAAAGGCGUAGUCGAUGGGAAACAGGUUAAUAUUCCUGUACUUGGUGUUACUGCGAAGGGGGGACGGAGAAGGCUAUGUUGGCCGGGCGACGGUUGUCCCGGUUUAAGCGUGUAGGCUGGUUUUCCAGGCAAAUCCGGAAAAUCAAGGCUGAGGCGUGAUGACGAGGCACUACGGUGCUGAAGCAACAAAUGCCCUGCUUCCAGGAAAAGCCUCUAAGCAUCAGGUAACAUCAAAUCGUACCCCAAACCGACACAGGUGGUCAGGUAGAGAAUACCAAGGCGCUUGAGAGAACUCGGGUGAAGGAACUAGGCAAAAUGGUGCCGUAACUUCGGGAGAAGGCACGCUGAUAUGUAGGUGAAGUCCCUCGCGGAUGGAGCUGAAAUCAGUCGAAGAUACCAGCUGGCUGCAACUGUUUAUUAAAAACACAGCACUGUGCAAACACGAAAGUGGACGUAUACGGUGUGACGCCUGCCCGGUGCCGGAAGGUUAAUUGAUGGGGUUAGCCGCAAGGCGAAGCUCUUGAUCGAAGCCCCGGUAAACGGCGGCCGUAACUAUAACGGUCCUAAGGUAGCGAAAUUCCUUGUCGGGUAAGUUCCGACCUGCACGAAUGGCGUAAUGAUGGCCAGGCUGUCUCCACCCGAGACUCAGUGAAAUUGAACUCGCUGUGAAGAUGCAGUGUACCCGCGGCAAGACGGAAAGACCCCGUGAACCUUUACUAUAGCUUGACACUGAACAUUGAGCCUUGAUGUGUAGGAUAGGUGGGAGGCUUUGAAGUGUGGACGCCAGUCUGCAUGGAGCCGACCUUGAAAUACCACCCUUUAAUGUUUGAUGUUCUAACGUUGACCCGUAAUCCGGGUUGCGGACAGUGUCUGGUGGGUAGUUUGACUGGGGCGGUCUCCUCCUAAAGAGUAACGGAGGAGCACGAAGGUUGGCUAAUCCUGGUCGGACAUCAGGAGGUUAGUGCAAUGGCAUAAGCCAGCUUGACUGCGAGCGUGACGGCGCGAGCAGGUGCGAAAGCAGGUCAUAGUGAUCCGGUGGUUCUGAAUGGAAGGGCCAUCGCUCAACGGAUAAAAGGUACUCCGGGGAUAACAGGCUGAUACCGCCCAAGAGUUCAUAUCGACGGCGGUGUUUGGCACCUCGAUGUCGGCUCAUCACAUCCUGGGGCUGAAGUAGGUCCCAAGGGUAUGGCUGUUCGCCAUUUAAAGUGGUACGCGAGCUGGGUUUAGAACGUCGUGAGACAGUUCGGUCCCUAUCUGCCGUGGGCGCUGGAGAACUGAGGGGGGCUGCUCCUAGUACGAGAGGACCGGAGUGGACGCAUCACUGGUGUUCGGGUUGUCAUGCCAAUGGCACUGCCCGGUAGCUAAAUGCGGAAGAGAUAAGUGCUGAAAGCAUCUAAGCACGAAACUUGCCCCGAGAUGAGUUCUCCCUGACCCUUUAAGGGUCCUGAAGGAACGUUGAAGACGACGACGUUGAUAGGCCGGGUGUGUAAGCGCAGCGAUGCGUUGAGCUAACCGGUACUAAUGAACCGUGAGGCUUAACCUUACAACGCCGAAGCUGUU
rnacentral:rRNA from 1 species